UAAAGGAGCGCUCGCCGCUACCGCUCGCUCUCCGGCGGGGCUGAGUGAAGCAUCAUGGCCGCGAAGUCGGACGGGCGGCGGAAGAUGAAGAAGGGCGGCGAGGUGGCGUUCACACCGCUGCAGAACUCCGAACACUCGGGCUCCGUGCAAGCGCUGGCCCCGGGGCUGCCCGCGGGCGCCGGGCCGGGCGGCGGCAGCGACGACGACGAGGCGCCCGGGGGCGGGUGCUGCAGCGGCGGCGGGGACGGCUCGGGCGGCGGCUCCCGCUGCUGUUGCUGCUGCUGCUGCGGCGGCGGUAGAGGAGGAGAAGGAGGGGGCGGCGGCGGGGGCUCGCGGGGCUCGGGCGGGGGCUCGUCCUCGCUUUGCCUGCGGCUGGGCAGGGAGCAGCGGCGCUACUCGCUGUGGGACUGCCUCUGGAUCCUGGCCGCGCUGGCCGUGUACUUCGCAGACGUGGGCACCGACAUCUGGCUGGCGGUCGACUACUACCUGCGAGGCCAGCGCUGGUGGUUCGGGCUCACCCUCUUCUUCGUGCUGCUGGGCUCCCUCUCCGUGCAGGUGUUCAGCUUCCGCUGGUUCGCGCACGACUUCGGCGCGGAAGACGGCACGGCCGCCGCCGCCGCCUCCGGGCAGUGCCCCGCUGCCGAGAGCAAACUGCUGGUGAGCAGCAGCUCGGCAGCCGCGGACAUCGACUCCGCUCGGCCCUGCACGCCGCAGCGGCAGGCUUCCACUGCCAGCAAGGGCAACGCCAACAGCAGCAGCAGCGGCAGCAGCGGCCCCGCUGGAGGCGGCCCCUCCAGCGGCAGCCGCGCCGGCAGCGGCAGGUCGGCGUCGUGCGCCUUCUGCAUCUGGCUCCUGCAGUCCCUCGUCCACAUCCUGCAGCUGGGGCAGGUUUGGAGGUAUUUCCACACUAUAUACUUGGGUAUCCGGAGUCGACAGAGUGGAGAGAAUGACAGAUGGCGGUUUUAUUGGAAAAUGGUGUAUGAGUAUGCAGAUGUGAGUAUGCUGCAUUUGCUAGCCACGUUUCUGGAAAGUGCACCACAGCUGGUCCUGCAGCUCUGUAUUGUUGUACAGACUCGUACACUCCAGGCUCUCCAAGGUCUUACUGCUGCAGCAUCUCUCGUAUCUCUAGCUUGGGCUCUGGCUUCCUACCAGAAGGCCCUCCGUGACUCCCGUGACGACAAGAAACCCAUCAGUUACAUGGCUGUUAUAAUCCAGUUUUGCUGGCAUUUCUUCACCAUUGCAGCAAGGGUCAUUACUUUUGCUCUCUUUGCCUCGGUUUUCCAGCUGUACUUUGGGAUCUUCAUCGUGCUCCACUGGUGCAUCAUGACCUUCUGGAUUGUCCACUGCGAGACAGAGUUUUGCAUCACCAAAUGGGAGGAGAUAGUUUUCGACAUGGUUGUUGGAAUUAUCUAUAUCUUCAGCUGGUUUAACGUCAAGGAAGGAAGGACACGCUGUAGGCUUUUCAUUUACUAUUUUGUGAUCCUUUUGGAAAACACCGCCUUGAGUGCUCUCUGGUAUCUCUACAAGGCCCCACCAAUCUCCGAUGCAUUUGCCAUACCAGCACUGUGUGUGGUGUUCAGCAGCUUUCUGACAGGCAUUGUUUUUAUGCUGAUGUACUAUGCCUUCUUUCAUCCCAACGGACCAAGGUUUGGGCAGUCGCCAAGCUGUGCUUGUGAGGACCCUGCAGCUGCCUUUACCCUACCCACGGAAGUGGCAACAAACACCCUUCGGUCCAUCUCCAACAACCGGAGUGUGACGAGUGAGCGGGAUCAAAAGUUCGCAGAGAGGGAUGGGUGUGUGCCUGUGUUCCAGGUGAGGCCCACUGCUCCAUCCACACCUUCGUCCCGCCCACCCCGGAUCGAGGAGUCGGUCAUUAAGAUCGAUCUGUUCAGGAACAGGUACCCAGCCUGGGAGAGACACGUGUUGGACAGGAGCCUGAGGAAGGCAAUCCUAGCGUUUGAAUGUUCCCCUGCUCCUCCACGGCUACAGUAUAAAGAUGAUGCCCUCAUCCAGGAGCGUUUGGAAUACGAAACCACAUUAUAGACAAAGCAAAAACGCAGCUUGGAGAAGCUCUGCCGUUACAGUCCAAGUUAAGGAUUGAUGGGAGGGCUGUAGGAAUAACAAACUGUGUACUACCAUUAGGACAACAAGCUGUAGUGUUCUUAGUCUGGCUACCAUCAUGAUUAUCAUUUGAUCCACUGUGUGCAGUCCAUCUGCAGGACACUGGUACAGCAACAUCACCUGAAAUCCUCAAAAAAUAAGCAAAAAGCCUACAACCAACCCACACAUACUGAUCAGUUUCUGGGAAAACUCACCCAUGACUCCUUGCUGCUAUGAAACUCGGACUGCAUGGUACUCACAAGCAAAUCAACAGGGGGGCUCUGACCAGAGCUUUCAACUUUAGCCAGUAGUGCAUUUUAUUUUAGAAAUGAAUGAUUGAUAUUUGCAUAAUCAAUGGCAAAAGCAAGCAAAGAAAAAUCCUCUCAAAAAUAACAAAACUGUAGCACACAAUGUUGCCAUUAUUAAAACUGGUUUCUAGGGGAAAAUAGGAGCAUAGUAGUAUUUGACACCCCAUAAAUAGAUCAUUCAGGUUAGACAGGUUUGCAAAAUAGUUCUUAAUUAAAAAGAGAAAUCAUCAUGUUAGCAAGGUUAUAAAUGGAAAAUAACUGAUUAUAUAGCUCACAAACAUUGACACCGCCAGAACUGUUUGUUUUCUGUGGAAUUUCAAAGUCUUUUUAAUUGCAAUUUAAGUCCUUUAUGUUGCUUUCAACAGAAAUCCUAUGCAGCUCUCACUUCUGGUUUUCAGGAGAAAUAAGGAGCUCCAGCACGUAGUGAUGUAAAUUAAAUGAUAAUCAUGAUUCAAUGUUCAAUUUGCAAAAAAUAUAUAUAUAUGUAUGUAAAAGAACAGGGAAGUAUAGUUUUCAUAUUCUAAAGUUUUUUGGAGGACCCCAUUCAGAUGUUUCAGAAGGAACUACAAGGAGAUGAACACGCUGAAACUUCUCUGUUUCAGAACUGGGAAUGCAUGAUUCAGUGUGAAUGUAUGCAGGGGUGACAAGAGACUGUGACAUGCCAUACCCUUCUAGUGCCAAACAUUGUGUAACCACAAGAUUGAUGUUGCCCAAGGGACAGAUCACGAGUGGCAUGAACCCUACGAGACCAAGAAGCAGGAAAGACCAAUCCAGUUCUCAACGUGUCGAGACAGCUCUGAUUUUUCCCACCCAAGGUGAAAGUGAUGUCUUUUAAAGACUUUCAGCCACCUCUGAGUCCAUGCCAAACCCAGUGUGACUUCUGGACUUGAUCCAGGGCAUUAGCAAAUGGGAUUAUCUUCUCACUGCAAGCACUGGAUGCAGAACCCACUGAGAUGCAAUAAACACAGUUCCUUAUCAUGCUGAUUUGACAGUAAUUUUGCAGGGUACAGCUGGGCUUUAAAACUUUGUUCAGUUCUCCGCAGUCUUUAUUUAUUAAAAAGAAAUUCAACAAAGCAAAAAGCCACACACACAAAUCCAAACUUUCCUUGUUCUUCCUUGUUGUACACUGUUCUCAUGAAAUUUGCUGUGUGAGGAGUGUGCCAGUUAAUUCGCAUUGGAACAGCCCUUCCAAUGUAUGUUUUCCAAAUGGAUUCCUACAAAAACUAUUAAUAAUAAACCCAGUAGUAAUUAAAAUGAACAUAUUCUCCAGUCAUUACAGCAAAAUGUACACUCAGAUAAGGCUAGGUAAUUUGUGCAUGCUUCUACCUUCCAUCUCUUAUGAUGCACAGCUCAAAGUUUCUUUUUCAGGUUGACUGACAAAUUUGAUUGUUUGGGGAAAAUGUGUGCACAAGUAUUUCUAGACCAUUAGUAAAACUGGUGAGCUUUCUGAAGCAAUUUCAUGUGAGACCGAUGAUCCUAAAAGAUUCACACUUACUGUGCUUGCAAAACCUUCUUGCAUGGUCUACAAAGAAAAAAGACACUGUCAAAGGACUGAUUGAGAAAUUUUGCCUGGUGAACACACUGAUAAGUAAUACCUACACCAGCACUCUGAAAAGGAGCAAUUAUUGUACUGGGAUUUGCCUUGACUAUAGGCAGCUUAUAAUCUUAAAGGGCUUGCCUGAAGGACCUCCAUAGCAAUGGAUGACUUUCUUUUGACUUUACUGGAGUCCAGUAAGCCCUGAGAGUAAGCAAGUGUCAUUUUGCUAUUAAAUUUCACAAUGCCUCUCCAGAUGAAAUUUAUUUUUAUGGAAUCUAUUUAGUCACUAUUUUACAGCACACUUGAACUUUACUAUCAGUGAACUGCCAGUCCCUGUGCAUCCAAUACUGAUUAGGCAAAGGAAAAUCUUUGGGGAAGGAACAUCAGUCUUUGUAUUGAAAAAAUAGUCCUCUGCAAAUAAUAUAAAGCACUUCUAGGUCUUCCAUUUCUGUGAGUCACUGAAUGAGUCAAAGACAGCUUCCUGGGUUCCAGAAUAAAUUUAAAUAUCUGUUUAAAUGUUCAGAAAACUAACUGAGAUAUUAAUAAUAUUUUAAUAUUUUCCAUGAAAAAAGAAAUCCUUUAAGCUACACAUUUCAACUUCUAGAAGAAUGCAUAUAUUUAUAUAAAUUCUAAGUCAUUGGGCUUUGGGGCAGCAAGGGAAAAAAAUGGCAAUUUGAGGAGAUGAAAUUUUCACAUAAGCUCAGCAAGAGUCUCCUGGUGUCCCCAUCAGCCUGCUGCUCCAGCCCUUGCUUGUCACUAUUUCACUGCUUAAACCAUUCAAGAAGGAUCUAGGGUUUGGAUCUUGGCCAACCUCAUCACAGUCUUCAGUGCUAGGGCACAGAUCAGGGAUGCAGGAACCUCAGAGACAACAGGCUAGGGUAACAAAGAGAAAGGUAGGUCCAUUUAUUCCAGUUUCUCUACAGGCACAGCUGAAUGGGUGAUGGGGACAAGGGCUGCUUCUUUGUGGGGCAGAUGCUGAGUGCUGGGACAUGGGGCUGGUGUUUGUACCCUGUUCUUUGGAAAGGAAAGGCAGCAAAUAAAAUUUAGGAGCAGUGAUGUUAGACACCCACAGUGCCAAAGCACUGAACCAUCAAGCUGGAUUCCCAGCCCUUAGAGGUUGGUGCCAAGAAUGGAAACAAGUUUAUUAGCUGCUGCAAUGCAGUCCUAAAAGAUGCCGUCUGCAGCUUUCUGUCCUUUGCAAAUCGGUAUGCAGAGGAAAAAACAAAGGAUUGCCUUUGCUGCUGUUUUGCAGGAAAUAAAACAUUUUCACAGCUGUUUCAGAGGUGUGCCUUUUAGCGUCUUUGGGUUUUAUAAAGACCUGAAAUAUAUUUCUCUCCCUUACAAAAACAGAAAAUCUUUUUUUUUUUCUUUUUUUUUUUUUCAUACAUUACAUACAAGUCAUAAAGCCUUGGCUUCUUUGCGAAACUGAGAUUCUCACAAUUCCACUCCUUGCCAUCUCCCCAUCACCUAAAAAAAAUAAAAUAAUAAUUAAAAAAAAAAGAACAGGAAACUGACAAACAUUUUGGGGAACGCUGCAGUAUCACACUGCCUCAAGAAAUCCUGCACCUCAGUGUUCAAGUUUUCCACUUAGUUCUGUGGUAAAAGCAGAAAAAAAUUGCAGGCCUUGAUGUGUAGGUUGUGCACGGGUUACUGACAAUUAGCAGCAGCUCUGCUCUGCCGCUGUAGUUUGUAGGUUCAGCAUCAGUGAUUCCUCGUUUUGGCCUGCCACAACUGAAGCUGGGCAAAAUGACACAUCAAUUUGAAAGUCGUAAUCAUAAUAUGGGAAGCUGAGGAGUAUAACAGUGAGCAAAAAUAAAAAAGAGUUUCAGCAUUUCUUUGUUUAACGGAUCGCAAAUAUUAAAGAAGGCCCUCAUAUAUUGUUCUUUUCUCCUAAGUUACGUGUGAACCAUAUGCACACAUUUCAGAAGUACAAACCUUGUGUUUUCACUGCCUAAUCACAAAAAAAAUAUAAUUAAAAAAAAAAAAAUUAAAAAAUUUAAAAAAGAAUCAAUAGGUUUGCAAUGGUCUCUAGUGUGACUUUUUAGAGUUAGGUGCCCAGUGCAGAACUCAUGUACCAGUGAUGCUGCAGGGAUCAGCAGUGAGGUCUGACAGCAGGGUGCAGAACAGCCAGCACAACACACAUUUAGUAAAAGGAUGAAUUAGGUGGCCACUACCGAGGAGAGGAACAUACCUCCAACUUUGCCAUCUUCUAGAAGUACUCUUAUUCACGAAACUCCUUUCCAGACCCUGAAGUCUCUUCCUGUGCUUGCACGCACAGAUUUUGCAUUUAGGUAGGGAUUCCAGGCAGGAUGCAGGGGGGAAUGCCGGGCCUGCCCCUGUGCUAAGGCCAGAACUCCAGGCCCUAAAUCUUUCCUUAUCCUGAGCAGAUUGAGGCCAAAGCUCCAUUGGGGAGUCUCCUGUCUGUAGGCAUGGGACACAGUCCCUCUCGCCAGAUGAGGAAAGGCUGCCAUGUCGCCUGAUCUGCAGCAGCGCUGCUGAGGAAGGGGAGGUCCAGGAGAUAGGGCUCUGUGCUGCGAGGUCCAAGAAGAGACAGGGCUCUGUGGUGCAAAGAUCCAGACAUGAGAACACCCCAGGCAUGCCCCCAGCACAUCAGGUCCCCAUGAGACACAGGCAUGGAACCCAUGGGCCUGUGACUUCUCAGGUGGCCUCAGCAGAGGACGGGUGCAUAGAUGUCCACUCAAGCUGAGGUGGCAUGAACAGGCAGUGGUGAGUCUUCAGGCUGUUGUGAUGUAUUUCUGCCUUUCAGGAGCUACAGUACCAGAGUUAGACCAGUUCUCAACACCUGAUGAAAAGUAAGUUACUUCCUAAUGCUACAAAAAGCCUGUUAAAAAAAAAAAGUGCACAUGCAGAUAGAUUCAAAUACUUGAAAUUCAAAUUCCAAUAGUGUAUUCUGUGUUCAUUCCUUUGUUAUUAUUACUAAAAUCAUUUUCUUCUUUUGUUCAGGAAUCACGGAGUCUCCUGCUUAGCGUUAAGUUAUUGCAUGAUAUAGAAUCAAUUCCAAAUGGGUGGUUUUUUACUGUGUAUGUCUUGGAUUUAGUUUUUCAGUUAUUUUUCGUAAAUACAUUUUACAUCUAACUACCUCAGCUGCCUUUUGUUUUGUUUUGGCGCAUAAAAAGUCAUGCACUUUCUAUAUUUGGGGAUUGGGGGGAGGAGUUCUUUCCAUUUUGAAUAACCAGGUUUAAAGCCAUGUUGAUCAAUUUAUAGAGGAGAACAAGAAAACCUAAUUAUUGACAGCUGUAGAACAUACAUUUUAUUUUUAGGUUCCGUUGGGGUAUAGUUUGGCAAAAAACACCAUAAGCUGCUUGUUAAUUUGCCUUAAAAAAUGCGUGCUCUUUCCUAUUCAAGUUGUGUUAUUUAACUCUUAUCUUGUACACAAUUUAUGUGACAACAACAAACGUAACAGUUGGCAGAAAAACAGCAAAUUGAACAGAAUGGACCAAUAGUUUCUCAGUUCUCUGUUGCAAACUGUUGCAUUAUACACUGAUUGUGCUAAAAUAACUGUUACUGUGCUUAUACUCCUUUGUCACCGUUGCAGAAAUAAAGUUACAGAAGAUCACAUUUGUGUUUAUGGAGCAGUGUAGAUAUCCCCCCAGUACAAGCACAGUGACUUGAGGUGAAUGAUAAUCAUUGCAGAACUUGUGCUUUGACUUGUAAACAUUGUAAAAAUGUAUUUGGUAUUUUAUUUGAAAUGAAGAAUCAAAAUAGUUACUAAAAAAAGAAUCUUCCUGUAAAUAUAUAUAUUCCAAUUCCAUGUAUACAAACAUUCCUUUAGAAUUCAGAUUGUGAAGAGUGUCUUUAUCGGCUAGAGACUGCUGUCUCCCUGGCAGAGGUUACAUGUGCUAUAGUAAAGAACACAGUGUGUGAAGUAUUUGAUGUACUGCAGUACCAUAGUUCUUUUGGUCUGUUAAGUAAGUUGCAAUUUGUGAUGAAAUGAAGUUGAAAGUAGUGCUUCAUACUAACAAAUUUCCUUGGUUACAACUUGAUUUUUCUUGUAAAACUUAAAAAGGAAAACUUGAAAAUUUUAUAUAUUUGGAUUUUGUAGAUUUUUUUUAUUUUAUUGCAACACAAGGUACCAAAAUCAUUAAAUAAAGUACACUGUGGUCAUUUUA